AGGCCUCCUUGUCCGGUGAGCUAAUCGUGUGUGCCUGGUUCAUCCUUUUGCGCCCUCUCCCUCCCUUCUCUCUCUCUCCCUCUUCCGUCCCCCACCGCGCCGCCACUCUUCCGCCACCGGCAUGCCCUCCUCGAGCUCCACCCCGUGGCGCGGACCACGAAGCUCGCGCCGGAGGUCGAGGACGCGGCGCGGCCCCCUCCUCCUGCCGAGCAGCGCGCGGAGGGAGCAGCUGCGGCCCGCCUCGGUUCAUCCGCCUCGCCGGCCGGCAGCUCCUCUCCCGCGGCGGUCCAGCCUGGAUGCAAGGCGGCGGCAGCAUCAGGCCCGCGGCAAGGAGGAGUGGGGCGCGAAGGAGGAGCAGCAGCGGUGGUCUGUGCCUGCUCCUCCCGUGUCCAUGGUCGGGGCGGCCGGCGUAGGCGAGCGGCGUGCAGGGGAUGGCUCGGCUUUCUACUUCUCCGCCUUUGCGUCCAUGGCUGGCAGCGGUGCGGGCGGAUCUCUAUCCAAAUCGGACGCAAUUACUCCUACGGCGCUAGCAGGCAGCAGCUGGAUCUGUUCGGGCGGACGGGCGCGGAGAAGAAAGAGGUAGGUCGUGCAAAAGGCGGAGCGCCACGAUGAAGCUGUCGGAGGCUCGGAGCUGCGGUCCUCCUUCCGCUUCCACCCCAACAGGCCGCGGCGGCCGCGGCCCUCUACAUGCUCUGCACGGUGGCAGGCCCGUCUCCAGCAAAUGAAUCAUCUGCGGCAAUCCCGUCGUUGCGGAUUCCCGUCGCGGCUCCCCUGCUAGCUAGACUACUAGAGGCUGGUCCUUCACGUGAGCAACCUCUUGCAACAGCUACUCGGCUACGUCUCGGCUCGUCUGUCAACCAUAUGUGCUCGACCAUUCAGCUAUUCCCAAUGAGGCAUCUCUGUGGGUGAUGAAUACAUUGAAUAGUAAAAGGAAAGGUGAUAACCUACAACUAUUUCAUCAUUUUCCCAAUGUUUAAUAGUAUCUUAUUAUCAACAUGAUACAGAUAUGUUCAUCUUCCUUUUCUAAGAUUCUCAAAUCAGUUUCUUUUUAAUUAACCAAGGAGGUAUUUGGCAAGUUUUUCUACUCUGAAACCUACCAUAAAUCUGGCACCUGCGCACCUCAACUCUUAUACUUUUCAUAUCACCUCAUAUAAAUCAUCUUUGACUUUGCUGCCAAUAUUGAAAAAUCAUCUGGAUAGUUUUGGCUACAUCUUAAUGCUAAACAGGGUACAUUGUUUACCUACAGAAGCUAUUUAGUUCACUGUUAUUAGGUUUGUAAAUUUUAUUCCCCGUCAUGUUGCUUUCAUCCCUAUAGCUUUAUUUACCUCUGUUUGGCCACAUGGACCAUGGACAAUCAAUUUACCCAAGAGAAAAUUACAGUGUGUAGUUCAGUAGACCCUGCAAUGAUUUUAACUUAUUAGAAAUUACACAUACUCUUUUCUUUAUUAAAAAAUAAAGAAAGAUAGUAAAAAGAUUGCAUGUCUAAUUAAGUUACAUGCCUAUACUCAGUGUUCUAAUUUGCUCUACCUCAAAUUAGUAUGUAUUUUAGUAUACUAGAAUUUCAUAGGAUAGGAGUACAAUCAGUUUAGAUUGAGCAUACUCAGAUGUUUUUUUCCUUUAAAAUUUCAUAGGAUAGGAAGGUACAAUCAAAUUGACUCUUUUCUCAUUUCCUCUUUUAUAUUUUGUAGUAUUCUGUUGCCCCAUGACAUUAUCAAAUUAUUUUUUAAAGCAUUGAAUAUGUGUUAUUUCUCAAGGCACCUACAAGGUAUCAACCACAUAUAACUAUGUGCACAUUUUGUGGGUGUAUAGACUCGGCGGCCUAGCACCAACUAUACAUCCAUAUCGCUGAACCAAACCGUGGCCUGCGGAGCCAUGUGUUACUGUUACCACGUGGGCCCGUGGCAUGUGCUGGCUGUCAUCACACGUCGUCCUUCCAACGAACGUGUCGCCUCCGUGUUCUGCCGAGCAGAGGUUGCGUCCAUCCUAAGCGGAAGCCUGCGCGGCGUUCUUCACUGCCAGAAAAUCGAUCACGCCAGGUUAUCUAGCCGGACGUCCUCACCUCGCGGUCGACGACGCUGUCAUAGCUACAGUCCCCCUUCCGCUCCGACAGGUUGCAAGUUGCAACUGCAACACUCUACAUGUUCUGGUCGGUGAUUUAAGCCAUCUCCAGCAAGCGAGCCAUCAGCAGCAACCCCGGCAUUGCUGAUUCACGUUGCUAUCGUCUCCUCUGCCAGAUGCGAUUCGCUCGCAACCUCCUGCGGCAGCUACUCUCCACACGCCUCGCCGUCGCCGGAGAUGGUCCGUCUCAAUUCUGCUAAUCAGGUCUGAACCACCUGACCAUAUUUGUUCCUCACGCGUGAGUGCCAAUUCUGGGUACAGCUAGCUCCCCUCUCUCCUUAAAUGGUGUAGUAGUGGAUUGAAACCAUUCAUGUACCCUCUUUUCUUUCCCAAAUUCAUCGGCGACUACUACCUGUAGCCUUUUGUGUGCUCAUGACUACAGGUGUCGAGCAACCAGCACGCAGCCAAUCCCAGUGAGGCAUCACGGGUGAUGAAUUGACCUGCAAAACAACAGAAAUGUAGUCAAGUGAAAGAGCAUGUUACAACAUAUUACAGGUAGGCUAUCUAUGCACUAUAAAACAACUAAAUCCUUUCGAUUCAAAGAUAUUGGUCUUCCAAUUGUCUUAUUAUCAUCAUGGUAUAAAUGUGUCAUUUUCAUAUUCCUAAGGUUCUAAAAUCAGUUUCUUUUUUCUUAAUAACUGAGGAUGUAUAUGGUAUGUUGUUUUACUCUGAAACCUACCAUAAAUGUUGCACCUCAAUUCUUAUACUUUGCAUAUCACCUCAUAUAAAAUCAUUUUUGACUUUGCUGUCAAUAUUGGGAAAUCAUCUGAAUAAUUUAGCCCACAUUUGCAUGCUAAACAGGCUAUAUAGUUUAGCUAUGAAAGCUAUUUACUUCAUUGUUGUUAAUUUUCUUUCCCGUCAAGUUGCUUUGAUCCCUGUAAUCUCAUUUACCUCUGCUUACCCAGAUGGAACAGGGACCACCAACAUCGACAUAAGAGAAAGUUACAUGUAUCAAUUUUUUCCAUAGUUGAGUAGAUCGUGCUUUGACUUCAGCUUAUUUUGAUUUCCAUCGAGUCUUUUCUUUGUUAACAUACUUUGACAUAUAUUGCAGCUCUUUGUGCUAUUCAAUGUUCUGAAGUAGUCAGCAUAGCAAAAAACGUUACAGGUCUAAUUCUAUCUCAAUCUGUGGUACCCAAUGUUCUGAAGUGUUCUAAAGUUGGCAUAUAUGAUUUUAGUAUACUAGAACUUCAUAACAUAAGAAGGUACAUCAGUUUAGUUUAAGCAUAUAUACUCAAAGUGUUUUUCCUUCAGAAUUCUCAUUUCAAACCAUGCAUGAUAAGUCUGUUCACCCCCAGUAGUACCAGAUUAUUUGUUUAAAACAUUGGAUUUAGAAUGUUGCUCAAGGCACCCAACAAGGCAUCAACCAUAUGUAGCGAUGUGCUUUUUUCUUACUAUUGAUUACUAAAUUAAGGGGUUAUUGAUUUCAUAUACCGAUAUUCCUUUAUAGACUUUACCCCAUGAAUUGUAAUUCCAAAGAGUGACAACCAUGAAUAUACUUUUUUUCUAUUUUAAAAUUUUAGGUGCAAUCAUGAAAUUGCUAUGUAGUGAUAGUUUCGCCUUUGAUUCUAAAGGUUUGGUCCUUUGGGUGAUAGGUUUCUUUUCUUUUCUCAUUGCUGGCUUUUCUUGCAUGUUUUUUUGGUCCUAUGAAUUACGGUAGUAAUAUUAGUUCUUGAUAUUUGAACGGUUACAUAUCUCUCACAAUUCCAUAGUUUUUCCUCUCAUGUUGUCUCCUUGCUGAAAGUAUUGAUGUCAAGAUAAAAUAAUGUGUCGGCUCUUCAACAAAUUGAGUACUAAUUCAUUUUCAGGUAUCAGUUUAAAAGUGGGCAGCCGAUAACCGGUGGCCACUAUCUUGCACAAGCUGCUCAGAGCCUCAGAUGACCCACUACAUAUAUGCAGUUAUUUGUGCUUUAUCAUUAACAUUUGUCAUUGUCCUAUCUUUAUUUUAUAUCUUUGUAAUGAAUGAUUGCAUGCCGUGGCCAGUUCUUGACUUCUAUGCUUUGGCGUUACUUGAUAC